rnacentral:lncRNA from 1 species
CAGAGAGACAGGGGUAGCAGUGUUUCUGAACUAAGUUACCAACAGCAGAGCACCUUUGCAAGGACGCUCGUGCUUGGCUAUCUCCUGCUUUUCCAGUGGAACAUUUUUUUCUUCACAUGAGAAUCAGUGGCAUCUCAAAGACACUUCAGAAGUUAUGUUACUUGGAGAUGGCAUCCAGAACAAGUUGUUCCAUCACCUUUCCAGGAACAGAUGUGAGACAUACUGGCCUGUAGUAUACUUGAUCCUCCUUGCCUUUUUUGAAGACUGGAAUGACAUUGGCUAUCCUCCCAUCUUCAGGCAACUGUAGUAUUUGCUAUGACCUUUCAAAGAUGAUAGAGAAUGGUUCAGUAAUCACCUCUGCCAGCUCCGUCAGCCCAUGAAGGAAAAGAGGUUUGUAGUUACUUGUUCCUGCUUGCGAAUUCAAACUUGUCAUUCCAUCAGCUUGAUUCCUGGGAGAAGAGGUGAAAUUGAGACAUUGCAACACAUCCUGGACAGAGGAAAAAAUCUACGAGGUGUUCCUUUAAAAAUGUUUUAUUUCCACUCAACAUGAAGAUCUGAACUGAAAAUCAACAGGCAUUGACAUCAACUGAGGAAAAUAUGACUUUGAUCACUUUUGAUACUAUAGAAACUCAAACACCUAGAGUCUGCAUACAAGGCACUCCACAAACAAAUUGUUGGUAGGUUUUUGUUUAUUUGUUUGUUUUCUGAUAGUAUGUAAAUCUCAUUUGCAAUACAGCUUUACGGUCAGAAAAAGAAAUUGAUAAAAUUUGGAAGGGCCACCAAGUGCAAUCCUGAGAAAAAUCAGGGCAGGUUGUUCAAAGAGCCUGCCUGCUGGUUAUAUACAGUGCAGUGUCCUCUUUUCUCCUGCUCUGUCUCACAUAAGACAUAUAGCAUUAUAUAGAAGCAAAUAGAUAGAAGGUAAAAUAAAAUUGGAACCUACUUGUCAAAAUUUUCUCAAUUUCCAGAGUGUGAUAGAAUUCAAUCUUUGGUUUGUUUAGUCAUGGGUGGAUUUUAAUUGCUGCUGUAGUCACUUUUUUUCAGUAUAUAGCUUAUCGCUAUGCCUUUAAUGCUUUUAUGAUAGUCAUCAUAAUUGUUGGAGAUAUCUUCAGAAGUAAUUUGCAUUCCACUGAGCUGGAAGUAUUCCAGAGUUUACAUUGUUUUG